rnacentral:ncRNA from 2 species
UAGUUAUCAAGAAAGGUGGAGGGAGUAGACCCUUUGAAACCUUAGCAACCCUUGGCCCCCUAGUGUCGAGAAGGUGCUACAUUCUAUCCCAGUUGGGUAUAGAUAACGA